GAUUAAGUUAUUAAGGGCGCACGGUGGAUGCCUUGGCACUAGAAGCCGAUGAAGGACGUUACUAACGACGAUAUGCUUUGGGGAGCUGUAAGUAAGCUUUGAUCCAGAGAUUUCCGAAUGGGGAAACCCAGCAUGAGUUAUGUCAUGUUAUCGAUAUGUGAAUACAUAGCAUAUCAGAAGGCACACCCGGAGAACUGAAACAUCUUAGUACCCGGAGGAAGAGAAAGAAAAUUCGAUUCCCUUAGUAGCGGCGAGCGAAACGGGAAGAGCCCAAACCAACAAGCUUGCUUGUUGGGGUUGUAGGACACUCUAUACGGAGUUACAAAGGACGACAUUAGACGAAUCAUCUGGAAAGAUGAAUCAAAGAAGGUAAUAAUCCUGUAGUCGAAAAUGUUGUCUCUCUUGAGUGGAUCCUGAGUACGACGGAGCACGUGAAAUUCCGUCGGAAUCUGGGAGGACCAUCUCCUAAGGCUAAAUACUCUCUAGUGACCGAUAGUGAACCAGUACCGUGAGGGAAAGGUGAAAAGCACCCCGGAAGGGGAGUGAAAUAGAACCUGAAACCGUGUGCUUACAAGUAGUCAGAGCCCGUUAAUGGGUGAUGGCGUGCCUUUUGUAGAAUGAACCGGCGAGUUACGAUUUGAUGCAAGGUUAAGCAGUAAAUGUGGAGCCGUAGCGAAAGCGAGUCUGAAUAGGGCGUUUAGUAUUUGGUCGUAGACCCGAAACCAGGUGAUCUACCCUUGGUCAGGUUGAAGUUCAGGUAACACUGAAUGGAGGACCGAACCGACUUACGUUGAAAAGUGAGCGGAUGAACUGAGGGUAGCGGAGAAAUUCCAAUCGAACCUGGAGAUAGCUGGUUCUCUCCGAAAUAGCUUUAGGGCUAGCCUCAAGUGAUGAUUAUUGGAGGUAGAGCACUGUUUGGACGAGGGGCCCCUCUCGGGUUACCGAAUUCAGACAAACUCCGAAUGCCAAUUAAUUUAACUUGGGAGUCAGAACAUGGGUGAUAAGGUCCGUGUUCGAAAGGGAAACAGCCCAGACCACCAGCUAAGGUCCCAAAAUAUAUGUUAAGUGGAAAAGGAUGUGGCGUUGCCCAGACAACUAGGAUGUUGGCUUAGAAGCAGCCAUCAUUUAAAGAGUGCGUAAUAGCUCACUAGUCGAGUGACACUGCGCCGAAAAUGUACCGGGGCUAAACAUAUUACCGAAGCUGUGGAUUGUCCUUUGGACAAUGGUAGGAGAGCGUUCUAAGGGCGUUGAAGCAUGAUCGUAAGGACAUGUGGAGCGCUUAGAAGUGAGAAUGCCGGUGUGAGUAGCGAAAGACGGGUGAGAAUCCCGUCCACCGAUUGACUAAGGUUUCCAGAGGAAGGCUCGUCCGCUCUGGGUUAGUCGGGUCCUAAGCUGAGGCCGACAGGCGUAGGCGAUGGAUAACAGGUUGAUAUUCCUGUACCACCUAUAAUCGUUUUAAUCGAUGGGGGGACGCAGUAGGAUAGGCGAAGCGUGCGAUUGGAUUGCACGUCUAAGCAGUAAGGCUGAGUAUUAGGCAAAUCCGGUACUCGUUAAGGCUGAGCUGUGAUGGGGAGAAGACAUUGAGUCUUCGAGUCGUUGAUUUCACACUGCCGAGAAAAGCCUCUAGAUAGAAAAUAGGUGCCCGUACCGCAAACCGACACAGGUAGUCAAGAUGAGAAUUCUAAGGUGAGCGAGCGAACUCUCGUUAAGGAACUCGGCAAAAUGACCCCGUAACUUCGGGAGAAGGGGUGCUCUUUAGGGUUAACGCCCAGAAGAGCCGCAGUGAAUAGGCCCAAGCGACUGUUUAUCAAAAACACAGGUCUCUGCUAAACCGUAAGGUGAUGUAUAGGGGCUGACGCCUGCCCGGUGCUGGAAGGUUAAGAGGAGUGGUUAGCUUCUGCGAAGCUACGAAUCGAAGCCCCAGUAAACGGCGGCCGUAACUAUAACGGUCCUAAGGUAGCGAAAUUCCUUGUCGGGUAAGUUCCGACCCGCACGAAAGGCGUAACGAUUUGGGCACUGUCUCAACGAGAGACUCGGUGAAAUCAUAGUACCUGUGAAGAUGCAGGUUACCCGCGACAGGACGGAAAGACCCCGUGGAGCUUUACUGUAGCCUGAUAUUGAAAUUCGGCACAGCUUGUACAGGAUAGGUAGGAGCCUUUGAAACGUGAGCGCUAGCUUACGUGGAGGCGCUGGUGGGAUACUACCCUAGCUGUGUUGGCUUUCUAACCCGCACCACUUAUCGUGGUGGGAGACAGUGUCAGGCGGGCAGUUUGACUGGGGCGGUCGCCUCCUAAAAGGUAACGGAGGCGCUCAAAGGUUCCCUCAGAAUGGUUGGAAAUCAUUCAUAGAGUGUAAAGGCAUAAGGGAGCUUGACUGCGAGACCUACAAGUCGAGCAGGGUCGAAAGACGGACUUAGUGAUCCGGUGGUUCCGCAUGGAAGGGCCAUCGCUCAACGGAUAAAAGCUACCCCGGGGAUAACAGGCUUAUCUCCCCCAAGAGUUCACAUCGACGGGGAGGUUUGGCACCUCGAUGUCGGCUCAUCGCAUCCUGGGGCUGUAGUCGGUCCCAAGGGUUGGGCUGUUCGCCCAUUAAAGCGGUACGCGAGCUGGGUUCAGAACGUCGUGAGACAGUUCGGUCCCUAUCCGUCGUGGGCGUAGGAAAUUUGAGAGGAGCUGUCCUUAGUACGAGAGGACCGGGAUGGACAUACCUCUGGUGUACCAGUUGUCGUGCCAACGGCAUAGCUGGGUAGCUAUGUGUGGACGGGAUAAGUGCUGAAAGCAUCUAAGCAUGAAGCCCCCCUCAAGAUGAGAUUUCCCAACUUCGGUUAUAAGAUCCCUCAAAGAUGAUGAGGUUAAUAGGUUCGAGGUG
rnacentral:rRNA from 1 species